rnacentral:rRNA from 1 species
GACGAACGCUGGCGGCAUGCCUAACACAUGCAAGUCUAGGGGUAGCAAUACCACUGGCGCACGGGUGAGUAACACGUAGGUUAUCUGCCCCCAUCACAGACAUAACCCCGGGAAACCGGGGCUAAUAUCUGAUGAGGUCGCGAGAUCAAAGCUUCGGCGGAUGGGGAUGAGCCUGCGGCUGAUUAGCUAGUUGGUGAGGUAAUGGCUCACCAAGGCGACGAUCAGUAGCUGGUCUGAGAGGACGAACAGCCACACUGGAACUGAGACACGGUCCAGACUCCUACGGGAGGCAGCAGUGAGGAAUAUUGGUCAAUGGGAGCAAUCCUGAACCAGCAAUGCCGCGUGUGGGAUGACAGGGCUUCGCCUUGUAAACCACUGUCGGACGGGACGAAAGGAGGCCUCGGGGCCCUCUGGGACGGUACCGUCAAAGGAAGGGUCGGCUAACUACGUGCCAGCAGCCGCGGUAAU